UUCAUUCAGUAAUUUUUCAUUGCAUCUAUUGCUUUUUACGGUUUCAGAUUCGUAGAGUUUCUCAAGUUGUUGUUUAAUACAUUAAGCAUAGACAUCUUACUUAGUAAUGUAAUGUAAAAUUAUCAGAAAAUGGGGCAUGAUUUCUGUUUUUAGGGAUUUAUUGUGCAGUAAGUUGAGUGCUAUAUAUAUAUAUAUAUAUAGGAUUUUCCCAACGGAAAGUUCAUUGCCGUUUUUGCUAGCGAAAGAAGAAUCAAGGUGAGCUAGGGUGAGUAGCUUGGUUACUUCGUCAUCUGAUAGCUUUUUCCCUGUCAAUUUCGGAUUAUAUGCCAUAUCCCAUAUACAAUUAUAGGGAAGAAAACGUAUAUCAAACUAUACAGAAGUGACAUAACUUGGCAGAUAAAUAGUUAGGUAUAAAAAUCUCGCAAUCAAUUAUACAAAGGGGAGGUCGUGGAGUUGACUACUUAUUCUUAGUCAUCCUUUUAGCGCAGUAUAUAUUCGUGGAUAAAUGAUUCCAAUUGCUUGAUGGAACCCAAUGGAGGUCCAGAAGCAAUCAGAUAACUCAAUUUCACAUGGAUGGAAUUGAACUAUUAUGGAAACGUGCAGAGGAUGACGAUGCUGAUAAGCUUCUACUCGCAGCAUCAGAAAAUGGGUGUCUGCAAACUGGGGAUGUCACAAUGGAUAAUACGGAGCUAGGGAUGUGAUCUGCACCCUAAAGUCGCUGGAGGAGUAGAUUGGGUACUAAUGAAGUUGUUGAGAUAUUUGAUUAUCUAUUUGUAGAUUUUGGUCUUGCUAAGAUAUCAAAUGACAUCACCACCCAUGUUUCAACUCGUGUAAUGGGAACAUUUGGGUACAUGGCACCUGAGUAUGCUUCAAGUGGCAAAUUGACUGAUAGAUCCGAUGUGUUCUCGUUCGGAGGAGUGCUUCUAGAGCUUGUGACUGGACGUAGACCUGUCGAGGCGAGCCAGGAUGAGAGUUUAGAAGAAUGGGUAAGCAUAUGUAUAUAUUUCAGGAACCUUUGACCUGCUGUUAUUGUUUUCCUAGAAAUACUUCUGCGCCUUGAAUAAGGUGAACUUUUGUCUUGGCGGAUGUUUUCUGCUGGCCAGACCAUUGAUAGCCAGUGCAGUCGAAACUGGAGUUUUUUCAGAGUUGGCAGAUCCAAGGAUUGAAAAGAGAUACGUCGAGAGAGAGAGAGAUGUUUAGGAUGGCUGAGACAGCUGCUGCUUGUGUUCGUCACUCUGCUAACAAAAGACCCCUCAUGGUGCAGGUAUUAAGGGCGUUGGACGCUGACGGUGACAUGCCAAAUAUCAACAAUGGUGAGAAAGUUGGUCAGAGCACUAUUUUUGAAGCAAAUUCAGAUCUUCAAAAAUUUCAAAUGUUGGUGCUGGGUGGCAAUGGUACUGCAGACUAUAGCAUGUAUAGUGCAAGUAUGAACUCUAGAGCAGAGAUUUUACCCCUGAAACCUCCACCAGGUUGGAGUGGCGAAUCAGAAACUCGUGCCAUUAACCUACACAAAUGUUGAACAGUGACAUUCAAAUACACUUUAACGUUAUUGCAAUUUUUUCGUCAA